UACGUAGGGUGCGAGCGUUAAUCGGAAUUACUGGGCGUAAAGCGUGCGCAGGCGGUUUGUUAAGACAGGGCGUGAAAUCCCCGGGCUCAACCUGGGAACUGCGUUUGUGACUGGCAGGCUAGAGUAUGGCAGAGGGGGGUGGAAUUCCACGUGUAGCAGUGAAAUGCGUAAGAUGAUGGAGGAAGACACCGAUGGCGAAGGCAGCCCCCUGGGCCAAUACUGACGCUCAUGCACGAAAGCGUGGGGAGCAAACAGG
rnacentral:rRNA from 1 species